GUGAGGAAUAUUGGUCAAUGGGCGAGAGCCUGAACCAGCCAAGUCGCGUGAAGGAUGAAGGUUUUAUGAAUUGUAAACUUCUUUUGCAGGGGAAUAAAGUACGGUACGUGUACCGUUUUGUAUGUACUCUGCGAAUAAGGAUCGGCUAACUCCGUGCCAGCAGCCGCGGUAAUACGGAGGAUCCAAGCGUUAUCCGGAUUUAUUGGGUUUAAAGGGUGCGCAGGCGGGUUGAUAAGUCAGCGGUGAAAGUUUGCAGCUUAACUGUAAAAUUGCCGUUGAAACUGUCGAUCUUGAGUGCAAAUGAGGUAAGCGGAAUGUGUUGUGUAGCGGUGAAAUGCUUAGAUAUAACACAGAACUCCGAUUGCGAAGGCAGCUUACUGGGAUGCAACUGACACUGAUGCACGAAAGCGUGGGUAUCAAACAGGAUUAGAUACCCUUGUAGUCC
rnacentral:rRNA from 1 species